UGGGGAAUCUUGCGCAAUGGGCGAAAGCCUGACGCAGCCAUGCCGCGUGAAUGAUGAAGGUCUUAGGAUUGUAAAAUUCUUUCACCGGGGACGAUAAUGACGGUACCCGGAGAAGAAGCCCCGGCUAACUUCGUGCCAGCAGCCGCGGUAAUACGAAGGGGGCUAGCGUUGCUCGGAAUUACUGGGCGUAAAGGGAGCGUAGGCGGACAUUUAAGUCAGGGGUGAAAUCCCGGGGCUCAACCUCGGAAUUGCCUUUGAUACUGGAUGUCUUGAGUAUGAGAGAGGUGUGUGGAACUCCGAGUGUAGAGGUGAAAUUCGUAGAUAUUCGGAAGAACACCAGUGGCGAAGGCGACACACUGGCUCAUUACUGACGCUGAGGCUCGAAAGCGUGGGGAGCAAACAGG
rnacentral:rRNA from 2 species